rnacentral:rRNA from 1 species
GUGUCAGCAGCCGCGAUAAUACGAAGGGUGCAAGCGUUACUCGGAAUUACUGGGCGUAAAGCGUGCGUAGGUGGUUCGUUAAGUCCGAUGUGAAAGCCUUUGGCUCAACCUGGGAAUGGCAUUGGAUACUGGCGGGCUAGAGUGCGGUAGAGGGUAGUGGAAUUCCUGGUGCAGCAGUGAAAUGCGUAGAGAUCGGGAGGAACAUCCGUGGCGAAGGCGACUACCUGGACCAGCACUGACACUGAGGCACGAAAGCGUGGGGAGCAAACAGGAUUAGAUACCCUGGUAGUCCACGCCCUAAACGAUGCGAACUGGAUGUUGGGCUCAACUUGGAGCUCAGUAUCGAAGCUAACGCGUUAAGUUCGCCGCCUGGGGAGUACGGUCGCAAGACUGAAACUCAAAUAAAUUGACGG